ACCUCGCCCACCUGUCGCUUGUCUCUCAAGCUUCGUGUCCCCCGCGACCUUAUCCCCUCACUCUCUGACCUGCUGCGCUGAUCCGUCGGUGGAGGAGGGGGGCAUUGGCUUGCUGGUUAAGGGGAGAAGGGGCGGCGGAGCAGACAGGAGGAGCCGGAGAUGGGGCUGAUCUCAGGGAUGGUGAUGGGGGCGCUGGUCGGGAUCGCCCUCGUCGCCGGGUGGAGCCGCAUGACUCGGUACCGCAGCACCAAGCGCAUUACCAAGGCUGCUGAUAUAAAACUGCUAGGGUCUCUUAAUAGAGAUGACCUGAAGAAAAUCUGUGGUGACAACUUUCCCGAGUGGAUAUCUUUUCCUGCAUUUGAACAGGUGAAAUGGUUAAACAAGCUAUUGAGCAAACUAUGGCCUUUUGUUGCAGAAGCAGCAUCAGCG
rnacentral:misc_RNA from 1 species